AUGGCCAAGACAGCAGGACAAGCUAGCCUUUAUGGGAAACGUAAAAGUCAGAAGGAAGAAGAUGAGCAAGAAGAUUUUACCAAGGACAUGGAAGACCCCACACCUGUACCUAAUAUAGAGGAAGUGGUUCUCCCUAAGAAUGUAAACCCAAAGAAGGACAGUGAAAACACACCCGUUAAAGGAGCCACGGUGGCAGAUCUAGAUGAGUGGGAUGAAGAAGCAGUUAUACAACAGGAGGAAAGGAAGAUGAAGAUCCCAGCAAAGGUGAUCCAAGUCGCUCAGUUGACCCAGGUGAAGACAAUGUGACAGAACAGACCAAUCACAUCAUUAUUCCCAGCUAUGCAUCCUGGUUUGAUUAUAAUUGUAUUCAUGUCAUUGAAUGGCAUGCGCUUCCUGAGUUCUUUAAUGGAAAAAACAAAUCCAAGACCGCUGAAAUAUACUUGGCAUAUCGAAAUUUUCUGAUUGAAAAAUACCGUCUAAACCCUCAAGUAUAUUUAACCAUCACUGCUUGUCGGUGAAACCUGACUGGAGAUGUGUGUGCUGUGAUGAGGGUUCAUGCCUUCUUAGAGCAGUGGGGUCUUGUUAACUACCAAGUUGACCCAGAGAGUCGGCCCAUAGCAAUGGGACCUCCUCCCACUCCUCACUUCCAUGUGUUAGCUGACACACCCUCUGGGCUUGUGCCCCUGCAUCUUCGAUCACCUCAAGUCCCUGCUGCUCAACAGAUGCUAAAUUUUCCUGAGAAGAACAAGGAAAAACCAAUUGAUUUGCAGAACUUUGGUCUUCGAACUGACAUUUACUCCAAGAAAACACUGGCAAAGAGUAAAUGUGCUAGUGUGGGAAGGGAGUGGACAGAACAGGAGACCCUUCUCUUAGAGGCUCUGGAGAUGUACAACGAUGAUUGGAAUAAAGUCUCAGAACAUGUUGGAAGUCGUACUCAGGACGAAUGCAUCCUCCACUUUUUGAGGCUUCCCAUUGAGGACCCAUACCUUGAAAAUUCAGAUGCUUCUCUUGGGCCACUAGCUUACCAGCCUGUCCCUUUCAGCCAGUCGGGAAACCCAGUGAUGAGUACUGUUGCCUUUUUAGCAUCUGUUGUUGACCCCCGUAUAGCAUCUGUUGCAGCAAAAGCAGCUUUGGAUAAGUUUUCUCGUGUCUGUGAAGUACCUCUGGAAUUGGUUGAAGCACAUGUCAAGAAAGUACAGGAAGCCGCAAGAGCCUCUGAGAAGGUGGACCCCCACCUAUGGCUUGGAGAGCAGCUGUAUUGCUGGAACAGGUCCUGACGAGCCAGAAAAGCUUGAAGGAUCUAAAGAAGAAAAGAUGGAAACAGAUCCUGACGGUCAGCAGCCUGAAAAGGCAGAAAACAAAGUGGAAAAUGAAUCAGAUGAAGGUGAUAAAAUACAAGAUCGAGAGAAUGAAAAAAACAGUGAGAAGGAACAAGAUAGUGACGUCAAUUAGGAUGUCAAGCUAGAAGAAAAGGAGAAUGAAGAGAACAAAGAGCUCACUGAUACAUGUAAAGAAAGAGAAAGCGAUGCCGGGAAGAAGAAAGUGGAACAUGAGAUUUCGGGAGGAAACGUUGCCACAGCCGCAGCAGCUGCUCUGGCCUCAGCUGCUACUAAAGCCAAGCACCUGGCGACUGUUGAAGAAAGAAAGAUCAAGUCCCUGGUAGCUCUAUUGGUUGAAACACAGAUGAAGAAACUAGAGAUCAAACUAUGACAUUUUGAAGAGCUGGAGACUAUUAUGGACAAGCAGAAAGAGGUUCUAGAACAACAGAGACUGCAGUUGCUUACUGAGCAUCAGAACUUCCACAUGGAACAGUUGAAAUAUGCUGAACUACGUGCCCAGCAGCAGAUGGAGCAGCAGCAGCAGCAGCAGCAGCAGCAUGGCCAGACACCUCAGCAGGCGCAACAGCACACGCGAGAGCCGGGGAUGGCCCCACUUGGAGCCACAGGCCACCCUGGCAUGAUGCCACAUCAGCAGCCCCCUCCCUAUCCCUUGAUGCACCAUCAGAUGCCGCCACUCCAUUUGACCUGGUUGGGGAGGAUGGAGUGGCGGCAUCUGAUGGGCCUGGCUCCAUGAUGCCUGGGCAGCCCAUGCCAAGUCGCAUGAUCCCCGCUAUGGCAGCCAACAUUAACCCUACUACUGGGAGUGGCCCAACCCCUCCUGGUAUGCCUCCAAUGCCCGGGAACAUCUUAGGACCCCGGGUACCCCUCACAGCACCAAAUGGCAUGUAUCCUCCUCCACCACAGCAGCAGCCGCCGCCGCCUCCUCCUGUAGAUGGGGUCCCUCCACCUCCUGCUCCAGGCCCACCCUCCUCAGCCACUCCCUAG